GUGGUCACUUCGGCAGCAUAUAUACUAAAAUGGAAUGGUAGAGAGAAUAUUAGCAUGUCCCUUGCACAAAGAUGACAUGCAAACUCGUGAAGCAUUCCUUAUUUUU
ensembl:snRNA U6 U6 spliceosomal RNA